GGGUUGUGAGGUUAAGCGACUAAGCGUACACGGUGGAUGCCUAGGCAGUCAGAGGCGAUGAAGGGCGUGCUAAUCUGCGAAAAGCGUCGGUAAGCUGAUAUGAAGCGUAAUAACCGACGAUACCCGAAUGGGGAAACCCAGUGCAAUUCGUUGCACUAUCGUUAGAUGAAUACAUAGUCUAACGAGGCGAACCGGGGGAACUGAAACAUCUAAGUACCCCGAGGAAAAGAAAUCAACCGAGAUUCCCCCAGUAGCGGCGAGCGAACGGGGAGGAGCCCAGAGUCUGAAUCA
rnacentral:rRNA from 1 species